rnacentral:rRNA from 1 species
UACGUAGGGUGCGAGCGUUAAUCGGAAUUACUGGGCGUAAAGUGUGCGCAGGCGGCAGAGCAAGUCGAGUGUGAAAGCCCCGGGCUUAACUUGGGAAUUGCGCUCGAAACUACUUUGCUGGAGUGUGGCAGAGGAAGGUGGAAUUCCACGUGUAGCGGUGAAAUGCGCAGAGAUGUGGAGGAACACCAAUGGCGAAGGCAGCCUUCUGGGCCAACACUGACGCUCAUGCACGAAAGCGUGGGGAGCAAACAGG